rnacentral:rRNA from 1 species
AGCGAACGCUGGCGGCAGGCCUAAAACAUGCAAGUCGAACGGAUCCUUCGGGAUUAGUGGCGGACGGGUGAGUAACACGUGGGAACGUGCCUUUUGGUUCGGAACAACUCAGGGAAACUUGAGCUAAUACCGAAUGUGCCCUUCGGGGGAAAGAUUUAUUGCCAUUAGAGCGGCCCGCGUCUGAUUAGCUUGUCGGUGAGGUAAAGGCUCACCAAGGCGACGAUCAGUAGCUGGUCUGAGAGGAUGAUCAGCCACACUGGGACUGAGACACGGCCCAGACUCCUACGGGAGGCAGCAGUUAGGAAUCUUGCGCAAUGGGGGAAACCCUGACGCAGCCAUGCCGCGUGAAUGAUGAAGGUCUUAGGAUUGUAAAAUUCUUUCAGCGGGGACGAUAAUGACGGUACCCGCAGAAGAAGCCCCGGCUAACUUCGUGCCAGCAGCCGCGGUAAU